rnacentral:rRNA from 1 species
GCUGGCGGCAGGCCUAACACAUGCAAGUCGAACGCCCCUUCGGGGGAGUGGCAGACGGGUGAGUAACACGUGGGAACCUACCCAGGAGUACGGAAUAACUCAGGGAAACUUGUGCUAAUACCGUAUACGUCCUUAGGGAGAAAGUUUUAACGCUCUUGGAUGGGCCCGCGUUGGAUUAGCUAGUUGGUGGGGUAACGGCCUACCAAGGCGACGAUCCAUAGCUGGUCUGAGAGGAUGAUCAGCCACACUGGGACUGAGACACGGCCCGAACUCCUACGGGAGGCAGCAGUGGGGAAUAUUGGACAAUGGGGGCAACCCUGAUCCAGCCAUGCCGCGUGUGUGAAGAAGGCUUUCGGGUUGUAAAGCACUUUCAGUGAGGAGGAAAACCUUAUGGUUAAUACCCAUGAGGCUUGACGUUACUCACAGAAGAAGCACCGGCUAACUCCGUGCCAGCAGCCGCGGUAAUAC